rnacentral:rRNA from 1 species
UACGUAGGGUGCAAGCGUUAAUCGGAAUUACUGGGCGUAAAGCGUGCGCAGGCGGUUUUGUAAGACUGUCGUGAAAUCCCCGGGCUUAACCUGGGAAUGGCGAUGGUGACUGCAAGGCUAGAGUGCGGCAGAGGGGGAUGGAAUUCCGCGUGUAGCAGUGAAAUGCGUAGAUAUGCGGAGGAACACCGAUGGCGAAGGCAAUCCCCUGGGCCUGCACUGACGCUCAUGCACGAAAGCGUGGGGAGCAAACAGG